rnacentral:rRNA from 1 species
CAGUCGAGCGAGCUUGCCUAGAUGAUUUUAGUGCUUGCACUAAAUGAAACUAGAUACAAGCGAGCGGCGGACGGGUGAGUAACACGUGGGUAACCUGCCCAAGAGACUGGGAUAACACCUGGAAACAGAUGCUAAUACCGGAUAACAACACUAGACGCAUGUCUAGAGUUUGAAAGAUGGUUCUGCUAUCACUCUUGGAUGGACCUGCGGUGCAUUAGCUAGUUGGUAAGGUAACGGCUUACCAAGGCAAUGAUGCAUAGCCGAGUUGAGAGACUGAUCGGCCACAUUGGGACUGAGACACGGCCCAAACUCCUACGGGAGGCAGCAGUAGGGAAUCUUCCACAAUGGACGAAAGUCUGAUGGAGCAACGCCGCGUGAGUGAAGAAGGGUUUCGGCUCGUAAAGCUCUGUUGGUAGUGAAGAAAGAUAGAGGUAGUAACUGGCCUUUAUUUGACGGUAAUUACUUAGAAAGUCACGGCUAACUACGUGCCAGCAGCCGCGGUAAUACGUAGGUGGCAAGCGUUGUCCGGAUUUAUUGGGCGUAAAGCGAGUGCAGGCGGUUCAGUAAGUCUGAUGUGAAAGCCUUCGGCUCAACCGGAGAAUUGCAUCAGAAACUGUUGAACUUGAGUGCAGAAGAGGAGAGUGGAACUCCAUGUGUAGCGGUGGAAUGCGUAGAUAUAUGGAAGAACACCAGUGGCGAAGGCGGCUCUCUGGUCUGCAACUGACGCUGAGGCUCGAAAGCAUGGGUAGCGAACA